rnacentral:rRNA from 1 species
UACGGAGGAUGCAAGCGUUAAUCGGAAUUACUGGGCGUAAAGCGUGCGUAGGCGGCUUUUUAAGUCGGAUGUGAAAUCCCUGAGCUUAACUUAGGAAUUGCAUUCGAUACUGGGAAGCUAGAGUAUGGGAGAGGAUGGUAGAAUUCCCAGUGUAGAGGUGAAAUUCGUAGAUAUCAGGAGGAACACCAGUGGCGAAGGCGAUUCUCUGGACUGUAACUGACGCUGAGGCUCGAAAGCAUGGGGAGCAAACAGG